rnacentral:rRNA from 1 species
CCUANGGGUGGCAGCAGUGAGGAAUAUUGCUCAAUGGGCGAAAGCCUGAAGCAGCGACGCCGCGUGAAGGAUGAAAUCCGUUAGGAUGUAAACUUCUGUGGAGAGGGAAGAAUGUCCCGUUUUACGGGAUUGACUGUACCUUUUUAGAAAGCACCGGCUAACUACGUGCCAGCAGCCGCGGUAAUACGUAGGGUGCAAGCGUUGUCCGGAAUUACUGGGUGUAAAGGGUCCGUAGGUGGGUAAACAAGUCAAUGGUGAAAUCUCGCAGCUUAACUGCGAAACUGCCUUUGAUACUGUUUAUCUUGAGUGUGAGAGAGGAUGAUGGAAUUCAUGGUGUAGCGGUGAAAUGCGUAGAUAUCAUGAAGAACACCAGUUGCGAAGGCGAUCAUCUGGCUCAUUACUGACACUGAGGGACGAAAGCGUGGGGAGCAAACAGGAUUAGAUACCCUGNUANUC